AGAGUUGAUUAUGGCUCAGAGCGAACGCUGGCGGCAGGCUUAACACAUGCAAGUCGAGCGGGCGUAGCAAUACGUCAGCGGCAGACGGGUGAGUAACGCGUGGGAACGUACCUUUUGGUUCGGAACAACACAGGGAAACCUGUGCUAAUACCGGAUAAGCCCUUACGGGGAAAGAUUUAUCGCCGAAAGAUCGGCCCGCGUCUGAUUAGCUAGUUGGUGAGGUAACGGCUCACCAAGGCGACGAUCAGUAGCUGGUCUGAGAGGAUGAUCAGCCACAUUGGGACUGAGACACGGCCCAAACUCCUACGGGAGGCAGCAGUGGGGAAUAUUGGACAAUGGGCGCAAGCCUGAUCCAGCCAUGCCGCGUGAGUGAUGAAGGCCCUAGGGUUGUAAAGCUCUUUUGUGCGGGAAGAUAAUGACUGUACCGCAAGAAUAAGCCCCGGCUAACUUCGUGCCAGCCGCCGCGA
rnacentral:rRNA from 1 species